AACGAACGCUGGCGGCGUGCCUAACACAUGCAAGUCGAGCGAGAAAGCCCGCAAGGGUGAGUACAGCGGCGCACGGGUGCGUAACACGUGGGUAAUCUGCCCUGAAGCCCGGAAUAACCUCCCGAAAGGGAAGCUAAUACCGGAUGAGACCACGGGAGCCUCGGCUCCUGCGGGAAAAGGUGGCCUCUGCAUGCAAGCUAUCACUUCAGGAUGAGCCCGCGGCCCAUCAGCUCGUUGGCGGGGUAACGGCCCACCAAGGCUACGACGGGUAGCUGGACAGAGAGGACGACCAGCCACACUGCAACUGAGACACGAUCCAGACUCCUACGGGAGGCAGCAGUGGGGAAUCUUGCGAAAUGGGCGAAAGCCUGACGCAGCAACGCCGCGUGUGUGAUGAAGGUCUUCGGAUCGUAAAGCACUGUCGGGAGGGACGAAUAAGGGCCAGGUGAACAAUCUGGUCCGAUGACGGUACCUCUAAAGGAAGCACCGGCUAACUCUGUGCCAGCCGCCGCGGUAAGAC
rnacentral:rRNA from 1 species